UACAUAUUGUCGUAAACAGGUGAUUUCAGUCGAAUCUGAAGUCUUAAAAGGGAAGUUGGUGAAAUUCCAACGCGGUCCCGCCACUGUAAAUUGGGAGCAAGCUGUGAUUAACCACUGUACUAAUGUAUGGGAAGGAACAGCGAGCAAUGACCAUAAGCCAGGAGACCUGCCUGUUACUGCUGCACCAC
rnacentral:ncRNA from 2 species